CGGAGAACAGGAGGAUUUAAAUACCUCUAAGCGGGCGACCUGCUCAGCCCUUCGGGUGUGGGAGGGUGACUGUUUUGUGUCUUUGCUAGACCGGGGGAGCAGGGGGUGGAGGAGGAGGAACGGAUAAUGAGCUAUUCUUGUACCAGCACAGGCAACAGCCAGGACCCAUCAAGCUCUAAGAAGUCUGGCGGCGUUAAUCCCGGUAGUUGCAGCAGCAGCAGCGGAGACACCGGCAACGGCAAUAACCGCCACAGCAUCCGCGGCAGCAAAGAGAACUCGAACCCUAAUUUAACCGAGGCCAUGAAAGUCAAGAAGGGCUGCAACACGACAGACGUCGGAGUCCCCGUAACCACAGAAGAGGAAUUGCUCGCGAACAAAACGAUCACCCCGGAGGAUGUGCUGGGAUUGCAGAAGAUCACUGAAAAUUAUCUAUGUAGUCCAGAAGACAAUGUGUACAAUAUUGACUUCACACGGUUCAAGAUCAGGGAUAUGGAGACAGGAACCGUACUGUUUGAGAUCACUAAACCACCAGCCACAGAUAAAGGAGGGGAUAAAAGAGAUGUUGAUCCAAAUGCUGGACGGUUUGUACGUUAUCAGUUUACGCCAGCUUUCUUACGGCUACGUCAAGUAGGAGCCACUGUUGAAUUCACAGUAGGGGACAUCCCCAUCAAUAACUUCCGGAUGAUCGAGAGGCAUUAUUUCCGUGAACAGCUGCUGAAGAGCUUCGACUUUGAGUUUGGCUUCUGCAUCCCCAGCAGCAAGAACACCUGUGAGCACAUCUAUGAGUUCCCGCCGCUCUCAGAGGAUCUCAGACGAUGAUCCAAAAACAAAUCCCAGUCCCCUGACCUGAACCCUAUAGAAAAUGAGGGUGGUGAACUGAAAAUGAGAAGCACCAACAUGGACCUGUGAAUUUGAAGGAUCUGGAGAGAUUCUGUAUGGGGGGACGUUAUCUGAUGUCUUGUCAGUUGUUCUCCAAACUCAUCAGGCAUUAUAGUACGUGAGAUGAUCCUCCAUCCUUACGAGACGCAGUCCGACAGCUUCUACUUUGUGGACAACAAGCUGGUCAUGCACAACAAAGCAGAUUACUCAUACAGCGGAGGCCCGUAGGACAGCAGUGGGAUGGGACUGAGGCAGAGAGUUUGACUGACAGACCUAAGGACCAAUCACAUGUCUUUGUCCAGCAGUCACGCCCUCCUCGAAUCAGUGUCAUAGACGAUCACCUGCAGUGCGCCAUGCCUGUUUUUGAAAUCUAGUCGUCUCAUAAGGUCUUGUCCGAUGCAUACAUAUCCUACUCUGAUUUCACACUGCCAUUGUUCACAUCAGCAAAUAUAUAUAUAUAUAUAUAUAUAUAUAUAUAUAUAUAUAUAUAUAUAUAUAUAUAUAUAUAUAUAUAUAUAUAUAUAUUAUAUUAUAUUAUAUUUUAUAACUUACCCCAAACAUGAGCAAAUUCACUCCAGUCCCAUGUUUUUUAUGGGCAAGGCGCUGUAAUGUGAAUGGUACUUAGGUGUUGCUAUUCAUCUCGUGCGUGCGUGUGUGCGUGCGUGUGUGUGUGAGGGGGGCGUCUAAGUGGGCCGUCCUCACAGUUUAACACAGAUAAGACCAUUAUAUAUUGUUGAUGUUGAGUAUUACUUUCCCUGUCAGAAUAAGCUACAUCAGAAUUUUCAUACUUGUGAACUUUUCAUCCUAAAUGGAAUAUAAUAUGACUUUAUGGUGAGACCUUGACAUAAUUGAUAGAUUUGUGUUGCAUUAGAUAUAUUUUGAUACGUGAACAAACUUGCUUAAUUUUGAGAUGUUGAUUAUUUGUUUGGAAAAAAACAAAAAUCAAGCAAAAAAUGAAGUCAAAUAAAUUUAAAAGGAGUUCAUGGUGCACAUCUGUCAUGGAUCUGCGGAUACUAGGAACUUUUGCAUUCAUUAGAUCCUGAUUAUACAUAAAUCAUGCUGUGAACAAGAGGUUGUGUAGAUAAAACAACGUUUGUGAAAAAACGUAUGCCGAAAAGGGAACACGGCACACGUAACAAGCCUUGACAUUUCAAACGUUCUGGUUCAUGUGGUUUCUUUUUGUCUUUGUGAAAAACAAAAGGAAAGAAAUAUGUUUUCAGCUGUAUAAAGAAAAGUAGUUCAAAGAGAUCAAGAGAUGGCGCCUCUUUUCAUCUCUCCAUCACACAUUCCAGUGAGCCAGCCCCUCACGGCUGUUUAGUGCACAUAGCAGAGGUUAGAUUUAACGUCUUAUCCAAGGAUCCUUGUGUUCAUAGUGCAAAAAGUGCAUUUAGAAGAAUGAUUUAAAGAGAACCUAUUUUUGGUUGAUGAAUGAAGGAGGCGUUCAGGACUUGUGUAAGUGUGUAAAAUGGAGGAAUAACUUGAAAAAAAAUGUUUCUAGUCAUACAUGUAACAGCUUUAUUUAUAAAAGAAAUAAAUGUAUAUGUUGAUUUUCUUUUGGAAA